rnacentral:lncRNA from 1 species
GGCAGGAGCAACAGCUAGUGUCCCAGGACUUUUCUUCAGAUAAGGAGGAGGCAAAGGAGGAUUUCUCCACUUCAUUCAACAAGAAAAGCCAUACAAAACCUUUGUGAGGACAUCUCUACGUAAGUUGAGGUCAUCUUCAAUAAGAGUCUUGCAAGCAGGUUUUCACAAACAAUAUUCAAUGGCGGAUCAUAAAUCACUGGACAAUGUAGAGAAUAUAAGAUUCCACUGA